ACGCCCAGUGGUAAAAACAUAUUAAUUUCACCAUAAUUACAUUAAAUUAGUUAUUAAAUAGGAAUUAUGGUAUAAU
rnacentral:sRNA from 1 species